UGAAUCAAGAUGGACCCAAACAACAACCACACACAUACAGAUAAGAGCAUUUAAGGAGGUAGAGCUCACAAAGUCUUAGUUACUGUGGCCCUUAACAACCUCAACAACACUACUGUUAACAGAAGUGGUCCUGUCUGGCUUGAGCUCAUUAUUUCCAGCACUUGGGGCCUGAAUGGUGAAUGAUGCUUCCAUUUUAUCUGCUGAAAUCUUAGACAUUUCACCAUCCAGUGGCUUUAUCAAUACAAAUUCAAGGACAUGAAUGGAAGACAGAAGAACUGUAUACAGAAGAUGAGUUAAUCAUUCCCUCAGCCUUGGAGUUGAUGUAAAGGGCACCGUAGUCAUGAAGACUCUGGCACAGACAAGAAGGCUAGUGCUUAUAUACUAUCGUGAGGUGGAAAGGGACGGGUAGCAGACAAGGGCAUAGUUACUAGUAGGCGGGAUUCCCCAGUGGAAGUAGGUCAUAAUUUUCACAUUGUC